AGUAACGGCGAGUGAAGCGGCAACAGCUCAAAUUUGAAAUCUGGCUCUUUCAGGGUCCGAGUUGUAAUUUGUAGAAGAUGCUUUGGGUGUGGCUCCGGUCUAAGUUCCUUGGAACAGGACGUCAUAGAGGGUGAGAAUCCCGUACGUGACUGGGUGCCUUCGCUCGUGUAAAGCUCUUUCGACGAGUCGAGUUGUUUGGGA
rnacentral:rRNA from 1 species